rnacentral:rRNA from 1 species
GCUUGUCUCAAAGAUUAAGCCAUGCAUGUCUAAGUAUAAACGACUUUAUACUGUGAAACUGCGAAUGGCUCAUUAUAUCAGUUAUAGUUUAUUUGAUGGUCCUUGCUACUUGGAUAACCGUAGUAAUUCUAGAGCUAAUACAUGCAUCAAGCCCCGACUUCUGGAAGGGGUGUAUUUAUUAGAUGGAAACCGAUGCGGGGUAACCCGGAUUUUGGUGAUUCAUAAUAACUUUCGGAGCGAGUAAUCGCUGCAUCAUUCAAGUUUCUGCCCUAUCAGCUUUGGAUGGUAGGGUAUUGGCCUACCAUGGCUUUAACGGGUAACGGAGAAUUAGGGUUCGAUUCCGGAGAGGGAGCCUGAGAAAUGGCUACCACAUCCAAGGAAGGCAGCAGG